rnacentral:rRNA from 1 species
UACGUAGGGGGCGAGCGUUAUCCAGAUUUACUGGGCGUAAAGCGCGUGUAGGCGGCUGGUUAGGUGUGAUGUGAAAUCCUCGGGCUCAACCCGAGAACUGCCUCCGAUACUGGGAGCCUUCGAGUCCGGGAGAGGUGAGUGGAACUGCGAGUGUAGAGGUGAAAUUCGUAGAUAUUCGCAAGAACACCAGUGGCGAAGGCGGCUCACUGGCCCGGUACUGACGCUGAGGUGCGAAAGCGUGGGGAGCAAACAGG